CCAUUCCCCGGAGCGGCGCCUUCAGCCGCCGGAGUUCCAGUCCCCGGAGCGGCGCCUUCAGCCGCCGGAGUUCCAGUCCGCGGAGCGGC
rnacentral:tRNA from 1 species